ACAUUUAUAACAUAUCAUAGGAUUCAUUGUUUUAAUUUAAAUGUAUGCGUAGUGCAAAACAAACUAAGAAUUUAAAAGUAAGAACAAAAAAGAGAAAUACUUGCUGAUAAGGAAAAUGUACAUGGAUUACGGAUGCAGCAUGACCCGGAAAAGGACUACAUAACUUGCAACAAAUCACACUACAGCAUUAUUUUUGGACAAUUCUUUCAUAAUUUGAAUUACAGGGAUUCUAUUACAUAUACAACUGUGGUCAGAUUCUACAAUAAUGAACGUCUUGAGCUGCCUUGUCAUGAUUUCAGCGACAGUUCAUAAUAUUUGUGCCUCAGUUUGCAAUUCUUCUAACAAGGAAAAGGUCGGACGUGUCGUGUUUGGUGAGGCAAGUGGGGAGCCAGCAGACGGACAGCUUGCAGUUGCAUUUACAAUUAUAAACAGAAUGAACCACAUGAGCUACCCUAAUACGCUAAAUGGGGUAUUGUAUCAAACACAUACGUCAGGUGGGAAGACACGCCAUCUCUAUAAAACACUAGAUAACCCUGAUCAUGACGAAAGAUGGGAAGCUGCUAAACAUCAUAAAGCAAUAGAACAUGCUGCGUAUGAAGCUGCCAUUACUGCAGCUGGGCAUGCGCUCUGUGCAACUGGUUUUGAUCCCAUGAGUUGCGGUCCGGUAACUUUCUGUGCACUAAAUCCAUGUUCCUCUACUAGCAGUAACAGGUAUUGGUGUGUGGCCGAAAAAAGAAAGAUUGGAAAACAUUGGUUUGCAUGCAUCGAAAAACAUUUUGGACAAUGUUGAAUAAUUGAAAUUUCGGACAGUUUUAUCCUGUUGUUGUUGGGUUUUAUUUAAUUUCAGAUCCAAUGUGUAUAAACCGUUUAACGUGAGGGUACCCAAAUUCCUCGUAUUUUGACAUUUUUUUCACCUACGUUUAUUUAUGAUCCAGACAAAAGUUUUCAUUCUGGGUUUAUUUUGCAGAUGUCUCCUUAUUCACUAUAUAGUUCCACCAAUUUGAUUUUGAAUCCAUAUAUAAUCAUAGAAAAAUGAGUUUGAACCGACCUCCAAACAAUUCAUGACUUUGUAAUGCGGAGUUCCCAAAUUGCAUCCAUGCUUAAAUUCACGUCCUUAAAAAUCGUAUAACAGAUGUUUUGUUUCAUUUCUUCCAAUAUUUAGAACAAUUUGACAUUAGUCCAUGCUUAAUAUUAAUUUUUUAAGAAAUGGAUGCUUGUAACAUAUUUUAUUUGCUCAUUUUAAAAGACGGCUUUUAUGUGGACGUCGCAUGGUGACGUUUCCAUAGAUUUCAUUUUCUUCAGUGAAUACUUCCUUCAUCUGUUGAUACAUACUGUGAAAGUUUUGUGCAUAUCUACAUAUAAUUAGCUAUGUUGGAAGACGUGCAUUAUUUCAAAUCAUAAAAAUAAAACUUGUUUAGUCUCCGCUGCUUUUUUUUUUUUUUUUUUCUAAAUUGGUGCAAUUUGGGUACUCGAUAUAAUUUGGAUAUUGUGAGGUUAGCAUUGUAAAAUUGUGAAAUCCACAGUUCUAUCAAUAUUAAAAUUAUCAUUUUUGUACAUA